AAUGAAACGACAGUGUCCCGCGGA
rnacentral:rasiRNA from 1 species